rnacentral:rRNA from 1 species
CCAAUAGCGUAUAUUAAAGUUGUUGCAGUUAAAAAGCUCGUAGUUGAAUUUCGGGAUCAAUUUGUCGGUCAUGCCGUUGGUAUGUACUGGUUUUAUUGAUUUCUCACCUUCUAAAGAACCACAAUGUCAUUAAUUUGGUGUUAUGGGGAAUUAGGACUGUUACCUUGAAAAAAUUAGAGUGUUUAAAGCAGGCUUACGCUUGAAUACAUUAGCAUGGAAUAAUGAAAUAGGACAUCCGAUUCUAUUUUGUUGGUUUCUAGGAUCGAUGUAAUGAUUAAUAGGGAUAGUUGGGGGCAUUAGUAUUCAAUUGUCAGAGGUGAAAUUCUUGGAUUUAUUGAAGACUAACUACUGCGAAAGCAUUUGCCAAGGAUGUUUUCAUUAAUCAAGAACGAAAGUUAGGGGAUCGAAGACGAUCAGAUACCGUCGUAGUCUUAACCAUAAACUAUGCCGACUAGGGAUCGGAUGAUGUUAAUUUUUUAAUGACUCAUUCGGCGCCUUACG